AACGAACGCUGGCGGCAUGCCUAACACAUGCAAGUCGAACGAGACCUUCGGGUCUAGUGGCGCACGGGUGCGUAACGCGUGGGAACCUGCCCUUAGGUUCGGAAUAACUCCCCGAAAGGGGUGCUAAUACCGGAUAAUGUCUUCGGACCAAAGAUUUAUCGCCUUUGGAUGGGCCCGCGUUGGAUUAGCUAGUUGGUAGGGUAAAAGCCUACCAAGGCGAAGAUCCAUAGCUGGUCUGAGAGGAUGAUCAGCCACAAGGGGGCUGAGACGCGGCGCACACGCCUCCGGGGGGAGGCAGUGGGGAAGAUUGGGCAAGGGGGGCAAAACUGAUAACCCAGUACUGUGGGGGGGAAGAGGGGUGUCUGAGGGUAAAAAGCUUUUUGCAGGGGGGAAGAAAGUGACGGUACCGGGAAAAGAAGCGCCGGCUAACUCCGUG
rnacentral:rRNA from 1 species